UGGUGGGUUGCUUUCAUAUUCCAGCCAAACUCAAGGUGAAUGUGAAACCAUCUGGAGUGAAACCUGCGUCUCCAGCAAAACAGGCACUGAAAUAUAAAGCAUCAGAGAGUCAUCCCUCUGUUGCAGCAGUGAAGCCUCUGAGCCUCAUUCCAAGCACAGAUGCAAAGGAGUUCUCAUCUAAAAACACAGCUGUGGCAAGUGCUCCAAUCCUUCCAAAUGAAACUAUAGCCACUGGUCCUGAGAGAGAGUGUUGUAACAGGUCUGAACUCCAACUAGAGAAUCAGGCAGCCUC